AAACGAAACCCUUUCUGAGUAAUUUGCCAUGGCUCGGAAAAUGUUUCAAAUUUUGGUGUCUGCUCUGCUGUUUACAGCUUCUGUUUCGAGUGUCCUUGGAGCACCCUUUCUGACAGAAGAGUCAGUGAAUCAGUUCCUGCGGCUCAAACGACAUGUACCAUAUUCUCCGAGCUACUGGGACUCAGGCAGCAGCCAGAACUCGUGGGCAUAUACUGUGGCUCAACAGAUUAGUGAAUCAUGGGCAGCUCUGAGGGAAACAGCACAAUACUACAUGGACUUGGACCCUUAUGCCUUUAAUCCUUCGACAGCUGGGUUCGAUGGGGUUUCUCAACAGAGCAUUUCAUAGACUCGGAGCCUGUGUGUACCUGACAACAACAUCAGAUCCUACAUGGAACAUCUACAGCAGUCUGAGACUCUCCUACAGCAACAAGCUAUUAAAUCCUACACAUCCUGUAUCUGGCCGUGUUAGGAUAUGGCAUGUUAUGUAUUUGCCGUUAUGUAUUUGAUAAGAUGACUAUAUCUCCUCCCACUUGGGUCUAAACCCAAAAUUAACACACUAAUUCUCUGCAUAAAUACUGCAUAUUUUAUAUUCAUAAGUAGAACUGAGAUGUAAGUCAUGGUAAAUUGAAUAAGUUGAAGAAAACAACGAUGAACUUUUAGCAGGUUGGAUUUAAAAUGUCUGGUGUUCAGGUAAAAUAUUCUUUUGACGAAAAAAUUGUUUGAAGACACACAUUCCGGCUUCUGUGACUGAAAACCACGUUUUUAUUUCUUAGUAUUUUCCUUAAACAUGAAAUGUUUUUGAGAGGCGAAUAAGAAAUUAAAAUCGGUUACUUUGGAUGGAUGAGAGAAGUAGAGCACAUUUGCUUCAGGUAUACCUCUGUAGUUCAAGUGCAUUUCCAUUUUUUCAAGUACUAGUAGUAGGUGUUGUAGUACACAUUCAUUCAUGUCAAUGCUUCUCUUUCCUCAUUUAAUCUUCUGUACUUGGUCUUGAAUGCCAAAAUGAACUGAACUCACAGCUAUUACUGUGAGUUGUUUUUUCUUAUUCCACAGAAAUGGGAAAUGGUAGAAACAUUCAUGGCUCCUUUUCUAUAAAGAAAAUGUUGGUGACAAAUGUUCUUUAUGUUCUUGAGCUUGGAAGUUUCCUAGUUCCUGUUAAUUAAUGUACCUUAUUUCAUAACAUCUUUGAAGAGAGG